rnacentral:rRNA from 1 species
CCUACGGGAGUCAGCAGUAGGGAAUCUUCCACAAUGGGCGAAAGCCUGAUGGAGCAACGCCGCGUGGGUGAAGAAGGUCUUCUGAUCGUAAAACCCUGUUGUUAGAGGAGAAAGUGCGUGAGAGUAACUGUUCACGUUUCGACGGUAUCUAACCAGAAAGCCACGGCUAACUACGUGACAGCAGCCGCGGUAAUACGUAGGUGGCAAGCGUUACGCGGAUUUAUUGGGCGUAAAGGGAACGCAGGCGGUCUUUUAAGUCUGAUGUGAAAGCCUUCGGCUUAACCGGAGUAGUGCAUUGGAAACGGGGAGACUUGAGUGCAGAAGAGGAGAGUGGAACUCCAUGUGUAGCGGUGAAAUGCGUAGAUAUAGGGAAGAACACCAGUGGCGAAAGCGGCUCUCUGGUCUGUAACUGACGCUGAGGUUCGAAAGCGUGGGUAGCAAACAGGAUUAGAUACCCUUGUAGUC